AUGAACGCUGGCGGCGUGCCUAAUACAUGCAGGUCGAGCGCACAGACGAGGAGCUUGCUCCUCUGACGUUAGCGGCGGACGGGUGAGUAACACGUGGAUAACCUACCUAUAAGACUGGGAUAACUUCGGGAAACCGGAGCUAAUACCGGAUAAUAUAUUGAACCGCAUGGUUCAAUAGUGAAAGACGGUUUUGCUGUCACUUAUAGAUGGAUCCGCGCCGCAUUAGCUAGUUGGUAAGGUAACGGCUUACCAAGGCAACGAUGCGUAGCCGACCUGAGAGGGUGAUCGGCCACACUGGAACUGAGACACGGUCCAGACUCCUACGGGAGGCAGCAGUAGGGAAUCUUCCGCAAUGGGCGAAAGCUUGACGGAGCAACGCCGCGUGAGUGAUGAAGGUCUUCGGAUCGUAAAACUCUGUUAUUAGGGAAGAACAAAUGUGUAAGUAACUAUGCACGUCUUGACGGUACCUAAUCAGAAAGCCACGGCUAACUACGU
rnacentral:rRNA from 1 species